rnacentral:lncRNA from 1 species
GUCUCUCUUCAAUUCGUCAAUUCCUAGAUACCCACCUCCUCCAGAUCACUUCUCGUUUGAUCAAUAAAUAAAGCAAAUAGGAGAGUUACGACAGUUACUCAGUUGUAAUUAGUCAGUUUUAGUAAGCAAAAAAUAAUUUUGAAAAACGUUUUUGACUACAGAAAAAAAGAGCAAAGAGAAGUAAUAAUGAGUUCGGAAAAUUGGAGUUUGACGGCGAAGCUUUGCGAUUCGUGCAAAACGACGUCGGCGACGGUGUUCUGCCGGGCAGAUUCUGCUUUUUUAUGCAUAGGAUGCGACUGUAAAAUCCACGCGGCGAAUAAGCUAGCGUCACGUCACGCGCGGGUUUGGGUUUGCGAGGUGUGCGAGCAGGCGCCGGCGAGCGUCACGUGCAAGGCGGACGCCGCCGCUCUCUGCGUCACGUGCGACCGCGAUAUCCACUCUGCGAAUCCAUUAGCGCGUCGUCACGAGCGUUUCCCCGUUGUUCCCUUCUACGACACCGCCGUCGCAAAAUCUCACGGCGGCGUUAAUGAUGAUGAGAAGUACUUUGAUAGUCAUGAGAAUAAUCCUCAACCGGAGGAAGAGGCGGAGGCGGCGUCGUGGAUACUUCCGACGCCGAAAGAAGGGACUGAUAAUCAGUAUAAAUCAGCGGAUUAUUUGUUUAAUGAUAUGGAUUCGUAUUUGGAUAUGGAUACUAUGUCGUGUGAUCAAAAACCGAAUAAUAUUCUUCAGCUGUACCAGCAGUACUGCUCUGAUGGAGUGGUGCCAGUGCAGAACAAGAACGAGAGUAGCCAUUUGCAAGGUCCAGUUGUUAAUGGAUUUCCAACGUACGAAAUGGACUUCAUUGGAUCUAAACCAUACUUGUACAACUUCAACUCUCAGUCCAUUAGCCAAAGUGUAUGUCCUCUUCUCUCUUCAUUUUCUUCUGAAUUGAGGCACAAUAAUAAUUCAGUUCCUACCUCCUAUUGUUUGGUUCUAGAAAAUCUAUCACAGCCUUAUGUAAAUACAACUUAUGUAUGUAUAAUUUCUAAGUGUAUGAUCUCAUUAAUUAUAUGCAUGGGUAAAUUUAAUGCAGGUUUCUUCAUCAUCUAUGGAAGUGGGAGUUGUGCCGGAGCACAGUGCAACGGCGGAUGUAUCAAACAGCUUAGUGAUGAACUCAUCGGGGGACACCGUACCGAACCCAGUCUCUGGUUUAGACAGAGAAGCAAGGGUAUUGAGGUACAGAGAGAAAAGGAAGAACAGAAAGUUCGAGAAGACUAUUCGGUAUGCUUCUAGAAAGGCUUACGCAGAGACCCGACCCAGAAUCAAAGGAAGAUUCGCAAAGCGUACUGAGAUUGAAGUCGACUCCCUUCUCGCCGCCGCCGAUGCGUCUUAUGGCGUUGUUCCAUCGUUUUAGGAGUUAUAAAUAUUUAUGUGGAAUUUGUCGACUAAAAAAUGAAAAAAGAGUUGGUUUUUAGUUUUCUUUCUUUUCAUGUUGUUGUUAUUAAGGAGGAUCAUGAUUAUGUAAAUAUUAUUAUUUUGUUCCAAUUUUGUGCUUUAUUUGGUAGUUUCCCUUUCGUAUUUGCAGUUUUGUGUAAUUCAAUUAUCAGCUCCACAUGACCACAUCCUUCUCAACAAAAAAAAAAGAAGAUGAAGAGAUCAGCUCCACGGGAAAGGAUUAAGCAACACCUUUCAGGAGGACAAUAAUUUCAACAAAACAAAAAAAAUCCAAGCAAAAUUGCUAUAUCCUCAAUUCAGAAGAGAUAAAUGAGUUUGGGAUGGCUACGUGGGAUUCUGCUUGGAUGAACUGGAAGAUAUCAUCAACAAAUAAAAGUACAUCUUAUUCAUUUACUUCUCUAAAAUAUUUCUGUCAUAGUUAGGACAUUCAACCAACUUUAAUACGAACUCUCGGCGAUUAUCAGUUAACAAGAAGUAGGAACUCAAAUUUGGUGUAUACUAGCUGGCCUUAGAAGAGUUCUAGUAAGUAGUAACUUGUUAAUGGCGAAGAAUUAAUGUGUCUAAAUAUGGUUUAAAGUAUUGAGGUUUUAAGCUAAAAUAAGCUUGGGUGAAUGAUAAAUAUAGGAAAAAUGAUUUUUUUUUUUAAAUUUCUGUCCUUGACAAUGGGAUAUUGUGGAAGAGGA